rnacentral:rRNA from 1 species
CGGCGGACGGGUGAGUAACGCGUGGGUAACCUGCCUCAUACAGGGGGAUAACAGUUGGAAACGGCUGCUAAUACCGCAUAAGCGCACAGUACCGCAUGGUACGGUGUGAAAAACUCCGGUGGUAUGAGAUGACCCGCGUCUGAUUAGGUAGUUGGUGGGGUAACGGCCUACCAAGCCGACGAUCAGUAGCCGACCUGAGAGGGUGACCGGCCACAUUGGGACUGAGACACGGCCCAA